CGUGUACUCCAGGCAGUCGCGGAGGUGCAAGACCCUUCGAGGAAAGUCCGGACAUCACAGGGCAGGGUGGUCGGGAUACCGACCCGGGGAAACCCGCGGGAAAGUGCCACAGAAACACACCGCCGAUGGGCCCGUUCACGUGGCGGGCUACAGGUAAGGGUGAAAAGGUGCGGUAAGAGCGCACCGGCGUCCUGGUGACAGGCCGCGUCCAGGCAAACCCCACCCGAUGCAAGACCAAGCAGGGCCGUUCGUAGGCUGCCCGCCGAGGUCCAGGUCGGUCGCAUAGAUGGAUGACUGUCCACGACAGAAUCCGGCUUACCGGAGUGCUACGGAUC
rnacentral:RNase_P_RNA from 1 species